CGAAUGUGGCUUUUCACAGAGAGCUUGAUGGUGGUUUACACUGCCUGAAGCUCAGGCAUCAAAUGAGCCUGGCACCCCAUUUGGCCACGGUGCACUCUUCUUGUUAUUUGUUGCUGGAUUCGAUUUGCUGACAUCUCAUUAAGGAUUCCCAUCUUUGCCGGGGAUACAUGUUGGCUUGUACCCUCUGUCUGUCUGCUUUUCACAUCAUGGGGACUCUGGCUUCAUGACACGAGCUGGGAAGUGUUUCUCUGCCUUUCUUUUUUUUUUUUUUUUUUGGAUGAGACUUUAUAACAUCGGUUUUGUUUUGUCUUGAAAUGUUUUGUAGAAUUUGCCAGGAAGCCAUGUGGUCCUAGAGAGUCCUUUGCUGUUGACUGCAAGUUCCUUUCUUUAGAAGUGCCAUCAGCAGUUCUACUACAGCAGCUUACCCCAUCUAUGGUGGCUUGUGGUCGGUCCUCAAUGAUAGCACUUGGAGUUGGCUAUGCCAGACUCAAGCUCCUUCCUCACCUGCAACCUCCAGAGAGUCUCUCCAUCCCACCUUCAAUGUUUCCUCUAGCAGGUCAUGAAGUCACUUUUAAUUCCUGCCAACACUGCCCCUGUCUAGCUUUCACUGUAGCUACAGAAUUCAGGUGCCUGUGGAAUCCAGAAGGGGGCGUUAGAUUCCCUGGAGACAGAGGGAGAGGUGGCCAUGAGCCAUUCGACACAGACAAUGGGAACCAAACUCAGCUACCUGAUGACUGUGAGUGGGACGACAUGUGACCUACCCAUUAGAAAUGGAGACAGGGGGCUGGAGAGAUGGCUCAGCGGUUAAGAGCACCCGACUACUCUUCCAGAGGUCCUGAGUUCAAUUCCCAGCACCCACAUGGUGGCUCACAACCAUCUGUAAUGAGAUCUGAUGCCCUCUUCUGGUGUGUCUGAAGACAGCUACA